rnacentral:rRNA from 1 species
UGUCCUAGGGAGGCAGCAGUAGGGAAUAUUGCUCAAUGGGGGAAACCCUGAAGCAGCAACGCCGCGUGGAGGAUGAAGGUUUUAGGAUUGUGAACUCCUUUUGUGAGAGAAGAUAAUGACGGUAUCUCACGAAUAAGCACCGGCUAACUCCGUGCCAGCAGCCGCGGUAAUACGGAGGGUGCAAGCGUUACUCGGAAUCACUGGGCGUAAAGAGUGCGCAGGCGGGCUUGUAAGUCAGGUGUGAAAUCCUGUAGCUUAACUACAGAACUGCAUUUGAAACUAUGAGUCUAGAGUGUGGGAGAGGG